AGGAGGAACAACCCCAGUGGCGGGGCCAGCUCUGGAGCCCUGGAUUCAGCCCCCGCAGUAGCUACAGAGCUCUCCGUCUGCAGGGCCUGGAGGCUCCGGGGCGGG
rnacentral:pre_miRNA from 1 species